AUACAAGUGAGAAUCUAUUCUAUAUCUUGUAAGAGAAAACUUUGUUAAUUAUAGAUAUGGCAAAGUCUCUUCGUCUAUGCAACCUUCUCUUAAUCACUAUCCUUGUUCUUAUUGCUUCAAGUAAUAAGGUGGUGGUAAUGGGAAAAGUAUGUAGCACUGUGAUAAGUGAUUACACAUGCAAGCAUGCAGGGUUUGACAAAAGAUGUGCACAAGAAUGUACUCAGAAUUUCCCUGGAAGCCAAUCAAUAUGUGAAAAACCAUUAGGUUCCCCUGUUGGAUACUUUGCUUGCAAAUGCAAGUAUACAUGUUAAACUAUAUAUGUAUAACUUCACUACACAUUCAUCCAUCGUAUCAAUCUAAUAAUAAAUUUUAUUUUUUA